UACGGAGGGGGCUAGCGUUGUUCGGAAUUACUGGGCGUAAAGCGCGCGUAGGCGGACCUGCAAGUCGGGGGUGAAAGCCCGAGGCUCAACCUCGGAACCUGCCUUCGAUACUGCGGGUCUCGAGUCCGGGAGAGGUGAGUGGAAUUCCGUAGUGUAGAGGUGAAAUUCGUAGAUAUUAGGAAGAACACCAGUGGCGAAGGCGGCUA
rnacentral:rRNA from 1 species